UUAUGGUGUAGUAUAAUGAAGUGUACACGGGCUUUUGGAUUCCGAAGAACGUAAUAGCGUCACCGUAAG
rnacentral:tRNA from 1 species